ACGGAGGGUGCAAGCGUUGUUCGGAAUUACUGGGCGUAAAGCGCGCGUAGGUGGUUGUAUAAGUCAGAUGUGAAAGUCCACGGCUCAACCGUGGAAGUGCAUUUGAAACUGUAUAACUUGAGUAUUGGAGGGGGUAGUGGAAUUCCCGGUGUAGAGGUGAAAUUCGUAGAUAUCGGGAGGAAUACCGGUGGCGAAGGCGACUACCUGGCCAAAUACUGACACUGAGGUGCGAAAGCGUGGGGAGCAAACAGG
rnacentral:rRNA from 1 species